rnacentral:ncRNA from 1 species
AUAAUUUAGAGUUUGAUCCUAGCUCAGGAUGAACGCUGGCGGCGUGGAUGAGGCAUGCAAGUCAAACGGGCUCAUUUUGUGUAGCAAUACACGUUAUGAAUCAGUGGCAGACGAGGUAGUAACACGUAGGGACGCACCCAGAAGUCUGGUAUAGCUUCGCGAAAGCGGGGGUAAUCCCAGAUGUGGUAGAAAUACCAAAGGAGCAAUUCGCUUCUGGAGCGACCUGCGGAGUAUCAGCUAGUUGGUAGGGUAACGGCCUACCAAGGCAAUGACGCUUAGGGGACCUGAGAGGGUGACCCCCACCGAUGGAACUGAGACACGGUCCAUACACCUACGGGUGGCAGUAGCCGAGAAUAUUCGACAAUGG